GGCCUUACUUGUAGUUUCUUCUCAAUUUUGAACAAAGCAGUAGAUUUUUAACAAAGGAGCGGCCAAAAUUUUAAAAAAAUGCUCUUCAGUUUCCAUGGCAACGAAAGAGAAAUAUACAUGCGGUUGGUAAAAACGGCUCAAAAACAUAGAAAAAUUUAGAAAAUACACGUAAAUCAAUCUGCAAUAGCUGAACAAAGGUCUAAACCUCUGUUUUAGCACAAAAUUUUUUUUUUCACUUUUCAAUCAAUUUUUGGGUUGACCCUCUUAUUAAGCAGAACUCAGCAUUUUCA